CUGUGAAUCUUUUGUAAAUGAUGCUGAAAUGCUAGAUAUUAAUACAAAGAAAGGCUCUGUCGAUAAAAAUACAUGCUUU